AAUAGAUACCCGGUAGUCCAUGCCGUAAACGUUGGGAACUAGAUGUAGGGCCUGUUCCACGGGUUCUGUGUCGUAGCUAACGCAUUAAGUUCCCCGCCUGGGGAGUACGGCCGCAAGGCUAAAACUCAAAGGAAUUGACGGGGGCCCGCACAAGCGGCGGAGCAUGCGGAUUAAUUCGAUGCAACGCGAAGAACCUUACCAAGGCUUGACAUAUAGAAGAACACUGCAGAGAUGCAGGACUCUUUGGACACUUCUAUACAGGUGGUGCAUGGUUGUCGUCAGCUCGUGUCGUGAGAUGUUCGGUUAAGUCCGGCAACGAGCGCAACCCUCGUCCUAUGUUGCCAGCGGGUUAUGCCGGGAACUCAUGGGAUACUGCCGUGGUCAACACGGAGGAAGGUGGGGAUGACGUCAAAUCAUCAUGCCCCUUAUGUCUUGGGCUUCACGCAUGCUACAAUGGCCGGUACAAAGGGCUGCGAUACCGCGAGGUGGAGCGAAUCCCAAAAAGCCGGUCUCAGUUCGGAUUGGGGU
rnacentral:rRNA from 1 species